rnacentral:rRNA from 1 species
GAUGAACGCUGGCGGCGUGCCUAAUACAUGCAAGUCGAGCGAACAGACGAGGAGCUUGCUCCUCUGACGUUCGCGGCGGACGGGUGAGUAACACGUGGAUAACCUACCUAUAAGACUGGGAUAACUUCGGGAAACCGGAGCUAAUACCGGAUAAUAUAUUGAACCGCAUGGUUCAAUAGUGAAAGACGGUUUUGCUGUCACUUAUAGAUGGAUCCGCGCCGCAUUAGCUAGUUGGUAAGGUAACGGCUUACCAAGGCGACGAUGCGUAGCCGACCUGAGAGGGUGAUCGGCCACACUGGAACUGAGACACGGUCCAGACUCCUACGGGAGGCAGCAGUAGGGAAUCUUCCGCAAUGGGCGAAAGCCUGACGGAGCAACGCCGCGUGAGUGAUGAAGGUCUUCGGAUCGUAAAACUCUGUUAUUAGGGAAGAACAAAUGUGUAAGUAACUAUGCACGUCUUGACGGUACCUAAUCAGAAAGCCACGGCUAACUACGUG